rfam:Rattus norvegicus chromosome 7, whole genome shotgun sequence.
GGGGAUUUAGCUCAGCGGUAGAGCACUUGCCUAGCAGGCCCAAGGCCUGGGUUCGAUCCCCAGCUCCG